rnacentral:rRNA from 1 species
UACAGAGGGUGCAAGCGUUAAUCGGAAUUACUGGGCGUAAAGGGUGCGUAGGUGGUUUUAUAAGUUAGGUGUGAAAGCCCUGGGCUUAACCUGGGAAUUGCGCUUAAGACUGUAAAACUAGAGUACUGUAGAGGGAGGUGGAAUUUCCGGUGUAGCGGUGAAAUGCGCAGAUAUCAGGAGGAACACCGGUGGCGAAGGCGGGUCUCUGGGCCGAUACUGACGCUGAGGAGCGAAAGCGUGGGGAGCAAACAGG